GCCGCAAAAGGACGAGGGAACUUAUUCUCAAGUAAAUCUCGUGUAUAUAAAUUGGAAUUAGGAAUCCAAUUGAUAUGAGGAGAGACCCGAAUCUAUUCUAGAUCGGAAAGUUAAAGUACUAAGGAAUAAGUCGAUACCCUUAGUAAUAGUUCUUUGGAAGCACUAUGAUCAAGAAAAGGCGAUGUGAGAACUCGAUUCUAGCAUGAAUGAGAAGUACCCAGAAUUAUUUUCUGUGGUACAAAUUUCGUGACGAAACUUCUUUUAAAGUGGAUAGUAUGUCAUACCCCGACUUUUAAUCCCUGAUUAAGGGCUUAAUUAUUAAUAAUUAGGAUUCGGCAUCCAUUUAUAAUAAAAAUUGG
rnacentral:lncRNA from 1 species